ACGCAGCUCUCGGCACAACAAACACAACACAAAAUCAAUUUAUAAAGAAAGCAAGUAAAAAGAAUAUUCCAAAUUGCAAAAUGAAACCCGCGAAAAGAAAGAAAUCCUAUUAAAAUUCCAUUUCGAAUAACAUGCAGAUAAUAUAAUAAGAGCACACAUCCUCUCUCACACAUACACGUAAUUAGCCAUUUGUUGCAGUUUGCUCACAGGACUACCCGUGAUGUAAGUAGCGCACAUUUUGAAUGUUACGUAACAUCCUUGGCAUCAGCUGCGAUCUCUUUAGAACACUCUAGUCGCUUGUUAUGCUGAUGAUUCAAUGCUUUGCCCCUACGAAUAUUCAAAAACUCUACGUAAACUCAAAGACACAAGAGACACAAAUACAAGAAGCAGAGAAAUAUCAUAUAAUUCCAUUUUUAUUUUAGGAUGGAAUUCAUAUGUUUAUUAUUAUUGUAUUUCCAUGUGUACAACGAGAGCCGAUCAGAUUAUGUGGUUUCUGAUCGGCCUAGACAUAUACGAAUGGAGACUAAAAAACAGUCUUAAUUUUGUGGCGCGUACAUUUCAUUAAAUUUCAUACAUUUCAAAUAGUUCUACAAUAGCUCAGGCAACCUUCAACGAUUGGUAUGGCAAUCAUGACCAAUCAUGACCAGCUGGAAUAGACCAGAAAUUCACUCUGAUACUCGGAUGCACUCUAGAUAUACAUACAUAGUUCUACACAUCUUGACUUCCAUACACACUUAUAUCGAAUAUGCAUAUAUAUAUAUUUAUUUAGACAUAUAU
rnacentral:sRNA from 1 species